UGGUGGAGCGAUUUGUCUGGUUAAUUCCGAUAACGAACGAGACUCUGGCCUAUUAAAUAGACGGUGUAUCUUGAAGUAUACCGCGCUUCUUAGAGGGACAAGCGGCGUCUAGCCGCAUGAAAUAGAGCAAUAACA
rnacentral:rRNA from 1 species